rnacentral:rRNA from 1 species
UACGAAGGGUGCAAACGUUGCUCGGAAUUAUUGGGCGUAAAGAGCUCGUAGGCGGUCUGUCGCGUCGAAUGUGAAAACCCGGGGCUCAACUCCGGGCUUGCAUUCGAUACGGGCAGGCUAGAGUUCGGUAGGGGAGUCUGGAAUUCCUGGUGUAGCGGUGAAAUGCGCAGAUAUCAGGAGGAACACCGGUGGCGAAGGCGGGACUCUGGGCCGAUACUGACGCUGAGGAGCGAAAGCGUGGGGAGCGAACAGG